rnacentral:rRNA from 1 species
UAAAGCGCAUGUAGGNGGNNNGGUAAGUCGGACGUGAAAGCCCNGNGCUCAACCCCGGAAGCGCGCUCGAUACUGUUUGACUUGGGUUCUGAAGAGGAGAGCGGAAUUCCCNGUGUAGAGGUGAAAUUCGCGGAUAUCNGGAGGAACAACAGUGGCGAAGGCGGCUCUCUNGGCAGAUACCGACGCUGAGAUGCGAAAGCGUGGGAAGCAAACAGGAUUAGAUACCCCGGUAGUCCACGCUGUAAACGAUGACAACUGGGUGUUGNGGGUAUUUNACUCCCCCUGCGCCGAAGNUAACGCGUUAAGUUGUCCCCCUGGGAAGUACNNCCCCAAAGGUAAAACUCAAAGGAAUUGACGGGG